GUGGAUGUAGCUCAGGGGUAGAGCAUCGGUUUGUGGUUCCGAGGGUCGCGGGUUCAAAUCCCGUCUUCCACC
rnacentral:tRNA from 1 species